GUCUCCCUACGGGGGGCAGCAGUAGGGAAUUUUCGUCAAUGGGCGCAAGCCUGAACGAGCAAUGCCGCGUGAACGAGGAAGGUCUUCGGAUCGUAAAGUUCUGUUGAAGGGGAAAAAGAGCGGAGAGAGGAAAUGGUCUCCGCUUGAUAUUACCCUUCGAGGAAGUCACGGCUAACUACGUGCCAGCAGCCGCGGAAAUACGUAGGUGGCGAGCGUUAUCCGGAAUGAUUGGGUGUAAAGGGUGCGUAGGCGGCCU
rnacentral:rRNA from 1 species